UCUAACUUUUCUUUAAAACUUGCCAUUUUCAGCGAGUAGCAUGCUGGCUCGAAGUUAGUUGUAGUUUCCCGAAGCGAAGGGAUUUUGACAAAGGCAAUCACACAGGGAGAAAAAGGUGAGAGAUGUCAG